GCUGCGCCUAGCCCGACGGGGCGAAGCCGAGAGUUCCUCUAUCCUCUCGCCGGCGCGGCAUCUCAUCUGAUAG
rnacentral:sRNA from 1 species